rnacentral:rRNA from 1 species
UACAGAGGGUGCGAGCGUUAAUCGGAAUUACUGGGCGUAAAGCGUGCGUAGACGGUUAUUUAAGUCGGAUGUGAAAGCCCCGGGCUCAACCUGGGAAUUGCAUUCGAGACUGAAUAGCUAGGGUGCGGUAGAGGGAAGCGGAAUUUCCGGUGUAGCGGUGAAAUGCGUAGAUAUCGGGAGGAACACCUGUGGCGAAGGCGGCCCCCUGGUUGGAUACUGACGCUGAUACGCGAAAGCGUGGGGAGCAAACAGG